GAUGAACGCUAGCUACAGGCUUAACACAUGCAAGUCGAGGGGUAACGAGAGGAAAGCUUGCUUUCCUUGUCGACGACCGGCGCACGGGUGAGUAACGCGUAUCCAACCUGCCCCCAACUAGGGAAUAACCUUGCGAAAGUAAGACUAAUACCCUAUAAUUUCCUCAGAUGUCAUCUGACGAGGAAUAAAGAUUUAUCGGUUGUGGAUGGGGAUGCGUCUGAUUAGCUUGUUGGCGGGGUAACGGCCCACCAAGGCAACGAUCAGUAGGGGUUCUGAGAGGAAGGUCCCGCACAUUUGAACUGAGACACGGUCCAAACUCCUACGGGAGGCAGCAGUGAGGAAUAUUGGUCAAUGGGCGGCAGCCUUAACCAGCCAAGUAGCGUGCAGGAUGACGGCCCUAUGGGUUGUAAACUGCUUUUAUACAGGAAUAAAGUUAGCCACGUGUGGUUAUUUGUAGGUACUGUAUGAAUAAGGACCGGCUAAUUCCGUGCCAGCAGCCGCAGUAACAC
rnacentral:rRNA from 1 species